CAUAGUUUCUAAAUUUCUACAAAUCUCCUUGUUAUUUUUAAAAUCAAUACCAUUGUUAUUUUCUGGAGAGGCCACUCAUUACUGGCCCAACUGAAAGUGUUUAGGCUUGACAAGCAAAACCAAGCCCCACCUAGAGGAACACAGGUGAAAUGAAUUAAGCUAGUUUUCCAGUAAAGAGAGAGAGAAACCAGGAAGGGGAUAACACAUUUCUUUAGCUUCUUCCUCUGCUGAAGGAAACUUACGCUGUGAGAAGAGGCUAUGUGGUCUUUUGCAACGAUGCAGCCUUAGACUAAGGGCUUGAGAGGUGUGGGAUAAAAGUCUGGGACAUCUUGAGUCAAGCUAUUUUAAACUUUUGUCAGAAAAAGUGCCUUAGAAAUCCCCGCUUACAGCAAGUAUCAAAUCCUGCGAGACUGGAGCACCACCUGAACUUGGCCUUCUUCCUACGUGUGGUUUGCCAGUGGCUCUGUGACAAGUACAAGACCUGGAAGAAACCUCCAUCCUCAAAGACUUGGAAAAGGCUGUCCUGGAGCCUGCGUGGAGGUUACAAAAACCAUCCCUCUGGUGGUGGCCUGAGCAGAUGACUUCAACCCCAAUGUUGCCCUGAACGUUGCAUUCAAGAUUUGAGAAGAUUAGGACUGCUAAGGUAUGGACUUGUGACUUCUAUCUUUUUUGAAGGCAAAUACAUUUAAAGAUAGUUAAUCAUUUUCACAGCCUUCUCUCCUCCUCAUCUGCUCUUUUCUUUUUCUCUUGCCUUUCUCCCUCCCUCCUUUUAAGCAAUGAUCUAGUCUUUUGUUACCAGCUUGUGGGAUGUGGUGGGAUGGAUAAAAUUAUAAUGGAAGAAAUGGAAGGCUACCCUGUCUCAAUAACAGAGGUGAUCAGAGGGGAGGCAGUCUAAGCAUGAAGAGAAAUUCGUGCAGACAUCUUUGAUAGAAAAAAGAAAUUGAGAUUGUUCCUUAUGUGAUAAGAGACAUGUAAAGAAGUGGUACAUGUGAUAAACUGUGUAUUUCCAUAUUCUAUGUCCACAGAAGACUUUUGGCAAACUGUUGUAUUAUAUCUUAAGAUUUGAGGAUAAUUGUGUUUAUAUAUCUUAGAUGCAUACCUAGGCUAGUGUUAGAAUCUUCUGAGUUGAGUCAGGUGAUCCCAUCUUCUUUUCUAGUUACAAUGAUAAUCAUUCUUUGUGUGUUUGUGUAUGGUAUAUAUGUACAUACACAUACUUACAU
ensembl:lncRNA